rnacentral:rRNA from 1 species
UACGAAGGGGGCUAGCGUUGCUCGGAAUCACUGGGCGUAAAGGGCGCGUAGGCGGCCAUUCAAGUCGGGGGUGAAAGCCUGUGGCUCAACCACAGAAUUGCCUUCGAUACUGUUUGGCUUGAGUUUGGUAGAGGUUGGUGGAACUGCGAGUGUAGAGGUGAAAUUCGUAGAUAUUCGCAAGAACACCAGUGGCGAAGGCGGCCAACUGGACCAACACUGACGCUGAGGCG